rnacentral:rRNA from 1 species
AAGGUAGUGACAAGAAAUAACAAUACAAGGCAGUUAAAAUGCUUUGUAAUUGGAAUGAUAGAAAUUUAAACACUUUUUAAAGUAUCAAUUGGAGGGCAAGUCUGGUGCCAGCAGCCGCGGUAAUUCCAGCUCCAAUAGCGUAUAUUAAAAUUGUUGCAGUUAAAAAGCUCGUAGUUGAAUUUCUGCUAAAAAUAACCGGUCUGCUUUUAAUAAAGGUGGUAUCUUGGUGUGUUUUUAGCAAUAAUGUCCUUUGAAAUGUUUUUUACUUCAUUGUAAUAAAUUAUAUUUAGGAUUUUUACUUUGAGAAAAUUAGAGUGUUUCUAGCAGGCUAAUGCUUUGAAUACUGCAGCAUG